AUUGAACGCUGGCGGCAUGCCUUACACAUGCAAGUCGAACGGUAACAGGUCUUCGGAUGCUGACGAGUGGCGAACGGGUGAGUAAUACAUCGGAACGUGCCCGAUCGUGGGGGAUAACGGAGCGAAAGCUUUGCUAAUACCGCAUACGAUCUACGGAUGAAAGCAGGGGACCGCAAGGCCUUGCGCGGACGGAGCGGCCGAUGGCAGAUUAGGUAGUUGGUGGGAUAAAAGCUUACCAAGCCGACGAUCUGUAGCUGGUCUGAGAGGACGACCAGACACACUGGGACUGAGACACGGCCCAGACUCCUACGGGAGGCAGCAGUGGGGAAUUUUGGACAAUGGGCGAAAGCCUGAUCCAGCCAUGCCGCGUGCAGGAUGAAGGCCUUCGGGUUGUAAACUGCUUUUGUACGGAACGAAAAGCCUCUUUCUAAUAAAGAGAGGUCAUGACGGUACCGUAAGAAUAAGCACCGGCUAACUACGUGCCAGCCGCCGCCGUAACAC
rnacentral:rRNA from 1 species